UACGUAGGGGGCCAGCGUUGUUCGGAAUUACUGGGUGUAAAGGGUUCGUAGGCGGUGCGGCAAGUUGGGAGUGAAAUCUCUGGGCUUAACCCAGAGGCUGCUUUCAAAACUGCUGUGCUUGAGUGUGAGAGAGGCUCGUGGAAUUGCAGGUGUAGCGGUGAAAUGCGUAGAUAUCUGGAGGAAUACCGGUGGCGAAGGCGGCAUCCUGGACCGACAUUGACGCUGAGGAGCGAAAGCUAGGGGAGCAAACGGG
rnacentral:rRNA from 1 species